GAAAACUGCUAGGGGCGCUACGGCUGAGAUAAGGAGCUUUUCCUUUGUCCCUUGGAACCUGAUCUGGAUAAUGCCAGCGCAGGGAAGCAGUGAGGACCUCGU
rnacentral:ncRNA from 2 species